ACGGCAUCUCGCAACGCGGCUAGCCGGCCAUGGCCCGCUUCAUAUCCCUUUCACGGUGGAGAGAGCGGUUCGAUUCCGCUAGCGAGCGCCA
rnacentral:tRNA from 1 species